rnacentral:rRNA from 1 species
UAUCCUACGGGACGCAGCAGUGGGGAAUAUUGGACAAUGGGGGGAACCCUGAUCCAGCGACGCCGCGUGAGUGAAGAAGUAUUUCGGUAUGUAAAGCUCUAUCAGCAGGGAAGAAAAUGACGGUACCUGACUAAGAAGCCCCGGCUAACUACGUGCCAGCAGCCGCGGUAAUACGUAGGGGGCAAGCGUUAUCCGGAUUUACUGGGUGUAAAGGGAGCGUAGACGGUGCAGCAAGUCUGAUGUGAAAGGUCGGGGCCCAACCCCGGGACUGCAUUGGAAACUGCCAUGCUAGAGUGCUGGAGAGG